rnacentral:rRNA from 1 species
UACAGAGGUCUCAAGCGUUGUUCGGAUUCAUUGGGCGUAAAGCGUCCGCAGGCGGUGCGGCAAGUUCGAGGUGACAGUGCGCGGCUUCACUGCGCAAGGUCCUCGAAAACUGGCACACUUGAGGGCUUCAGAGGGACCUGGAAUUCCGGGUGGAGUGGUGAAAUGCGUAGAGAUCCGGAGGAACACCAAAGGCGCAGGCAGGGUCCUGGGAAGCCACUGACGCUCAUGGACGAAAGCUAGGGGAGCGAACGGG